GUUCAGUUUGCAGGUGGCUGCUAUUGGGCAGUUACUCAGGCUUUUAGUAACAGCCCUCUGGUUUGGUGUGGCGCUGUCACGCGGUUCUCAGGUCCAUGAGCUUCCACAGCUUCCCUCUGGUUCCUGGGUCGGGUUUAGGCCCUGCCUUUCCUGUGUGGAGCACUGAGAGACGAAGAUGCUCUCAGGUGGAGGGAGGAUACAAGAAGAAAUCUGCAGUGAAGAAGAGAACUCUCACCUGACCAUGCUGGCACUCUGAUCUUGGACUUUAGUCUCUAGAACUGUGAGAAAUAAAUAUCUGUGGUUUAUAGGCUACCCGGUCAGUGGUAUUUUGUUAUAUAGCCUGAUUGGAUCAAGACACUUUGUUAUAAAUUCUGUUUUACUUUGGGAUUAAAAAUGUGUUCAUAUUUGGUGUAGUUUUCUAUGUAAGUUUCAUAAUCCCUCCAGAGUUGUAAGCUUUUCUUAAUACUGGAAGGCACAGGAAUUAAUUUGUUCUACUUUUUUUUCUUGGAGACAUGCCUCCUGAAGUUCCCCAUCAUGUCAUUUCAGUCGGGACUGUCUGCUCUUUAGUUCUGCUGUAUAACUGUUAUCCUGGAGCUGCCUUUCAUCAUUAUAAAACAAGCAAACAGAAGACACAAAAUACUCUUUCUCUUAUGUAGUUCUCUAGUGGUUCUGUUUUCUGGAUCUCCUGGUGCCAUCUUUUCUUUGUUUACUCACUUCUUUCUGAUGGAGCUCUUGUUAUUUUUUGAGACCUUACAUGUCUCCAGUGUCUUUAUAGUCUGCCUUUAUAUUUGAUUGAUAUAAAGUAUGGCAUUUAUGGUCCAAAAAAUUUUCCCUCAGAAUUUUGAAGGCAUUCAUCCUCUUUUACUUUCUAAUGUUGCUGUUGAGAAACGUAAUGUCAUUCUCUUCUGUAUUUCAUUGUGUGUUUCACAUUCUUUCUCUCUGAAAGCUUUUAAAAUAAUUUCUCUCUCCUGGGUGUUCCAAAGUUUUGUGAUGAUGUGCUUUGUUGUGGGUUAAUCAUUGUGCUGGACCUUUUUCUUUUAAAACUGAAAACAUGAGUCUUAAAUGUAGAAAUUUUCUCUGAUUAUUUCUGAAAUUUUAUAUAUUUUUUUUCCUUCUCUGAAAGCAGUAUUGAAUGACCUGGGUUGAUCCUAUAUUUAUUUAUUAUUUUUUUUUUUGCUAUCUCUGUCCUUUUGUUCUAAAGUUUUAGGAAAAAAUUUUGAAUUUUUUUCCAAUCUGUAACUUAUUUUUAGUUAUAUCUCAUAUAUAGAUGAGUGAAUAUAUAUAAUUAUAUACACACAUGUAUAUUUGUAUAUGUGUAUAUUUAAUUUCUAAGACAUCUUCCUUCUCAUUUUUCCUUUUCUUACAGCACGUUUUCCUUGUUUCAUGGAUUAAAUAUCGUAACUCUCUAAAGAUAGCAUAGUUAUAAAAAAAAGUUUUCUUCUGCUUUCUAUAUUAAAAUCUUUUGUUUGC